UGAAGAUUAAAUCUUCUUAGGAC
rnacentral:piRNA from 1 species